rnacentral:rRNA from 1 species
CAGUCGCCGCGGUAAUACGUAGGGUGCGAGCGUUAAUCGGAAUUACUGGGCGUAAAGCGUGCGCAGGCGGUUUUGUAAGACAGGCGUGAAAUCCCCGGGCUCAACCUGGGAAUGGCGCUUGUGACUGCAAAGCUAGAGUGCGGCAGAGGGGGAUGGAAUUCCGCGUGUAGCAGUGAAAUGCGUAGAUAUGCGGAGGAACACCGAUGGCGAAGGCAAUCCCCUGGGCCUGCACUGACGCUCAUGCACGAAAGCGUGGGGAGCAAACAGGAUUAGAUACCCGAGUAGUCCCUGUCUCUUAUAC